rnacentral:lncRNA from 1 species
CCCGGCCACGUAGCUCAGCUCCACCCUCCCUGCUGCGCAGGCGCACAGUGUUCUGUGACAGCCCAGUGUGUCCUCAGGGCUGGGUCCGCUGGCUGGUCUCCCAGCCGAGUGAGCGGUGAGUGGUCGCCGGUCAACAGUAUGAGGCGGUGCCUGCCCCCCGCCGCUCGCCGUCUGCCCGGCCUCCAUAGACUGAGGAGAACGGCGAGGCCAAGGUCGGCUCACACUGACAAGGCCAGCUGCACCCUGCCUCGCUGCGGCCUAGCGCCUGUCGCUUCCCACAGCCCUGGCGAACCCACCGGCUGAGGGGGACCAGGCUGGACCCGCCCGACUUUCGGUCCGCCCGUUCCUCCUGUACUGGCAGCCGAGGUGUGUGGGGAGGUUCGGUUCCGGGCCCGAUCGGACUAAAUGGCCGAGCAGUGGACAGGCCAACGUGGGACCCAAGGUGCCGGAAUCGGCAGGUCGCGCCCGCUGCCCGCCCCGCGCCCCGCGGCAGGGAACCUUCCAGGGUGGCUUCCCGGCCGCCCUCCGUCUGAAGUCAGCUUAAGGGGCUCCGUUUCUCAGUCCCGGACGUCUCCCAGGGAGCGCCAGCCCGGCCUGAGUGCAGGAGGCCUCCUCCAGCAGGCGAGGAAAGGAGGGAGCCCCUCGUCUCCUCCUCGGCAGCAGAGUCCAGGACCUGGAGUCCCCGAGAGGACCUCUGAGAGCCCUGGAAAUUAACUGAAUGAUUACUGCAAUCUGAAGAGCAUUUGUUUAAGAAAAAACAGUGUGCGAGCCACUCACUCCUGCUCUAUCUACCACGAACAAACCUCAAACACACAGCACCCAGGAGGGGCCAGGCAUGAGAGCCCUUGUAUGAGAUGCCCAAAAGGAAAAUCUGAGAGACAGGAAGUGGACUAAUGGUUUAGUCCUGGGGUGGAGGGAGGG